rnacentral:rRNA from 1 species
GACGAACGCUGGCGGCGUGCCUAAUACAUGCAAGUUGAGCGCUGAAGGUUGGUACUUGUACCAACUGGAUGAGCAGCGAACGGGUGAGUAACGCGUGGGGAAUCUGCCUUUGAGCGGGGGACAACAUUUGGAAACGAAUGCUAAUACCGCAUAAAAACUUUAAACACAAGUUUUAAGUUUGAAAGAUGCAAUUGCAUCACUCAAAGAUGAUCCCGCGUUGUAUUAGCUAGUUGGUGAGGUAAAGGCUCACCAAGGCGAUGAUACAUAGCCGACCUGAGAGGGUGAUCGGCCACAUUGGGACUGAGACACGGCCCAAACUCCUACGGGAGGCAGCAGUAGGGAAUCUUCGGCAAUGGACGAAAGUCUGACCGAGCAACGCCGCGUGAGUGAAGAAGGUUUUCGGAUCGUAAAACUCGGUUGGUAGAGAAGAACGUUGGUGAGAGUGGAAAGCUCACCAAGUGACGGUAACUACCCAGAAAGGGACGGCUAACUACGUG